GACGGAGGAUGCAAGCGUUAUCCGGAAUGAUUGGGCGUAAAGCGUCCGCAGGUGGCCGUUCAAGUCUGCUGUCAAAGACCGGGGCUUAACUUCGGAAAGGCAGUGGAAACUGAACAGCUAGAGUAUGGUAGGGGCAGAGGGAAUUCCUGGUGUAGCGGUGAAAUGCGUAGAGAUCGGGAGGAACACCUGUGGCGAAGGCGGCCGACUGGGCCGACCCUGACGCUGAGGCGCGAAGGCGUGGGGAGCGAACGGG
rnacentral:rRNA from 1 species